rnacentral:rRNA from 1 species
GAUGAACGCUGGCGGCGUGCCUAAUACAUGCAAGUCGAGCGAACAGACGAGGAGCUUGCUCCUUCGACGUUAGCGGCGGACGGGUGAGUAACACGUAGGUAAGCUACCUAUAAGACUGGGAGAACUUCGGGAAACCGGAGCUAAUACCGGAUAAUAUUUCGAACCGCAUGGUUCGAUAGUGAAAGAUGGCUUUGCUAUCACUUAUAGAUGGACCUGCGCCGUAUUAGCUAGUUGGUAAGGUAACGGCUUACCAAGGCAACGAUCCGUAGCCGACCUGAGAGGAUGAUCGGCCACACUGGAACUGAGACACGGUCCAGACUCCUACGGGAGGCAGCAGUAGGGAAUCUUCCGCAAUGGGCGAAAGCCUGACGGAGCAACGCCGCGUGAGUGAUGAAGGUCUUCGGAUCGUAAAACUCUGUUAUUAGGGAAGAACAAACGUGUAAGUAACUGUGCACGUCUUGACGGUACCUAAUCAGAAAGCCACGGCUAACUACGUG